rnacentral:rRNA from 1 species
AGCUUUAAGUUUUAUUUAAAGUGAGACCUGCCCAGUGCUAAUUAGUAAACGGCCGCAGUACCUUGACUGUGCUAAGGUAGCAUAAUCAGUUGGCUUUUAAAUGGAGUCGGGAAUGAAUGGAUUAAUAGGGUUAAGCUGUCUCUACUAUAUUAAAUUGAACUUACUUAUUAGGUGAAAAUGCCUAAGUUGUAAAAGAAAAAAGACGAGAAGACCCUAGGAGUUUUAACUAGAUGCUAUUUAUUAUAGUUAAUGUUUUUGUUGGGGCGACAUUGGAACAAUUUUAUUUAACUUCCUUUAUGUUUAUAGGCCGACUUUGUAUGUAAAUCUAAACUACCCUAGGGAUAACAGCGUAAUUCUUUUUGAGCUUGCGACCUCGAUGUUGGACUAGGAAUUUGGUGGGCUAGCCGCCUAUUUAUAUUGUUCUGUUCGAACUGUUUUUCCUACAU